AUACUUACCUGGCACAGAGAUACCAUGACCAUGUCGGUAGUUUUCGCCGAAUUUGGCUUAUUCAUUGCAUUCUGUAUGUGCUGACUCUUAUGAUUUCUCCAAAUGUGGGAAACUUGACUGCAUAUUUUGUGAUAGUGUGAGAUUGUAUUUACGCUCUAUCC